rnacentral:rRNA from 1 species
GACGAACGCUGGCGGCGUGCUUAACACAUGCAAGUCGAACGGAAAGGCCUCUGUCGGGGGGUACUCGAGUGGCGAACGGGUGAGUAACACGUGAGUAACCUGCCCUUGACUUUUGGAUAACUUCAGGAAACGGGGGCUAAUACCGGAUAGGAGCUCCUGCUGCAUGGUGGGGGUUGGAAAGUUUCGGGGGUUUGGGGUAGGCUCGCGGCUUAUCAGCUUGUUGCUGUGGUAGUUUCUUACCGAAGCGUUGACGGGUGGCCGGCCUGAGGGGGUGACCGGCCGGAGUGGGUCCGAGAGACGGCAGCGGCACGGACGGGAGGCAAAAGGGGGGAAGAUUGCAGGAUCGGUGGCAGGUGGAUGCAGAAAGGCUUUGGGCGGGAGGGCGGGGUUGGGGGUGGAAAACGGAUUCGCAGAUGACGAAGAUUUGUGUGACGGUAGUGGGUAAGGAAGCAACGGCUAACUACGUG